AGGCCUAAUACAUGCAAGUCGCACGGGAAGCCCCCUUCGGGGGGUGGAGAGUGGCGCACGGGUGAGUAACGCGUGGGAACCUAUCCCGGGGUGGGGGAUAACCACUGGAAACGGUGGCUAAUACCGCACGAUCCCUGAGGGGCAAAGCAGCGAUGCGCCCUGGGAGGGGCCCGCGUCCGAUUAGCUAGUUGGCGGGGUAAGAGCCCACCAAGGCGGUGAUCGGUAGCUGGUCUGAGAGGAUGAUCAGCCACACUGGGACUGAGACACGGCCCAG
rnacentral:rRNA from 1 species